rnacentral:misc_RNA from 1 species
AAGAGGUUUUUGAGUUUUAUACUCGAAACUUCCCACCCAUUGUUAAUUCUGUUUGAGACUUUAGCUUCGGUAAGACUGUUUUUGGAGACAAAAACGAUUGACAGUUGUGAAAAGACUGUUGAUUAGUGCUUACCGUUAGCAUCUUAUACUCUGAUAACUUGUUUGUCUAAUAAACCAAAAAAAUUAAUCA